rnacentral:rRNA from 1 species
CCUACGGGUGGCAGCAGUGGGGAAUAUUGCACAAUGGGCGAAAGCCUGAUGCAGCCAUGCCGCGUGUGUGAAGAAGGCCUUCGGGUUGUAAAGCACUUUCAGCGGGGAGGAAGGCGUUAAUGUUAAUAACCUUGGCGAUUGACGUUACCCGCAGAAGAAGCACCGGCUAACUCCGUGCCAGCAGCCGCGGUAAUACGGAGGGUGCAAGCGUUAAUCGGAAUUACUGGGCGUAAAGCGCACGCAGGCGGUCUGUCAAGUCGGAUGUGAAAUCCCCGGGCUCAACCUGGGAACGGCAUUGGAAACUGGCAGGCUAGAGUCUUGUAGAGGGGGGUAGAAUUCCAUGUGUAGCGGUGAAAUGCGUAGAGAUAUGGAGGAAUACCGGUGGCGAAGGCGGCCCCCUGGACAAAGACUGACGCUCAUGUGCGAAAGCGUGGGGAGCAAACAGGAUUAGAUACCCGUGUAGUC